CAGUGAAGAGACCCUUCCUAGUUGCUGCAGUGUGUCUGGGGCUGCUGUGUGUUUUCCUACUGGCUGGGAUCAUUGGGUUGUCAGUCUCCUUUCAGUUAACAGCGAAAACCUGUACCGAAGGAUGGCAGAAGUUUGGCUGCAGCUGUUACUACAACUCCACUGGGAAGAACACUUGGGAUUACGCCAGAAAGGACUGUCUGAGCAGAGGAGCAGACCUGGUGAUCAUUAACAGCGAAGAUGAACAGGUAUUUCUCACUACAUUUGAUCAAUGGAUCUGGAUUGGUCUGACGGACAGAGAGACACAGGGAACUGGAAAUGGGUGGACGGCACAC